AAAAGGGAAAAUGCAGAAACAAGAUGGAUGAAAAAAAGGGCCGUGAAGAUCUUAAUUUGGCGUGGGCAGAUGUGUAUGCGAAAUACCAUUACAAGUCACUUGAUCACCACAGCUUCUCUUUAAAGAACUCCACAAGAAGGCAAGAAGGGAGAAGAUUAAUGCAUGGGUGAAGCUGCUACAGAAACUGGUCCCAGGCUGUGAGAUAAGGUUCCUGUUGGAAGAGCUACCCUUGGACGUAUCAUGAAUGUUCUUGGAGAACCCAUUGAUAAGAGAGGCGAAAUUAAAACCGACCACUACUUACCUAUUCACAGAGAUGGCCCGGCUUUGAUUGAUCUAGCCACCGGACAAGAGAUCCGUGCCACUGGUAUUAAGGU